UGCUCACUAAAUCUAGUAACCAGGUUCGUUUC
rnacentral:piRNA from 1 species